rnacentral:rRNA from 1 species
CCUACGGGUGGCUGCAGUGGGGAAUUUUCCGCAAUGGGCGAAAGCCUGACGGAGCAAUACCGCGUGAGGGAGGAAGGCUCUUGGGUUGUAAACCUCUUUUCUCAAGGAAGAAAAAAAUGACGGUACUUGAGGAAUAAGCAUCGGCUAACUCCGUGCCAGCAGCCGCGGUAAUACGGAGGAUGCAAGCGUUAUCCGGAAUGAUUGGGCGUAAAGCGUCCGCAGGUGGCAGUGUAAGUCUGCUGUUAAAUAGUGAGGCUCAACCUCAUAAAGGCAGU